rnacentral:misc_RNA from 1 species
CAUCUUACUUGAUUUCAGGUGCAAAUAUUAAAAGUGUCUACAAAGUAGUUCACAAAUACAUGUGACUGCUACAAAGAGCAUAUACUUAAUAAGUGAAUUUUCACUUACAUUUGUAUUGUUGAAUUGUGUGAGCACACUGAAACAAGUAUACUGGUUUUACCAGUGCAAGUUGCGUUCAAAGAUCCAAUGAUUCAUGGUUCUGCAAUUCACAUUGCAUAUCGCAUUCUAGCUGCGUUCUUCAUCGGUAUGGGAGCCAAGACAUCCAUCGUUGAAAAUUUAAAGAUUUUAUCAACCUUAUAAAUUCAUUUAUUGAUUUAUCUUGUUGUAUGAUAAUAAAUUUGUAGUCGAAACUACAAAGUUUACUUCAGUUAGUUAUUAGUUUAUUUUUUUGUUAAUGAUCCUUCCGCAGGUUCACCUACGGAAACCUUGUUACGACUUCUCCUUCCUCUAGGUGAUAAGGUUUACUUAUUUUCCCGUAAACGGUCCAAUAAAUUCACCGUAUCACCCGGUAUCGGUAGGAGCG